rnacentral:tmRNA from 1 species
GGGGGUGUACUGGCUUCGACAGGGCGGGCAAAGGUGCGCAGGCAACUCGUCAGGCGAUCGACGUUAAUGAAGCAAAUCUCCAAACGCCAACGAUGAGCGUUUCGCAAUCGCCGCUUAAGGCUUUUGCCGAGGCUGCUUGAGCCUUGUUACCAAAGAAAAGCCGGU